GCGCAGCAGUCGCGAAACCUCCGCAAUACGCGAAAGCGUGACGGGGUCAUCCCGAGUGCCGUCCGCUGAGGAUGGCUUUUCCCCAGUGUAGACAGCUGGGGGAAUAAGGAGAGGGCAAGUCGGGUGUCAGCCGCCGCGGUAAUACCCGCUCUCCGAGUGGUGGGGACGCUUAUUGGGCCUAAAGCAUCCGUAGCUAGCUGGGCAAGUCCCCUGUUAAAUCCAGCGAUUUAAUCGUUGGACUGCGGGGGAUACUGUCCGGCUAGGGGGCGGGAGAGGCCGACGGUAUUUCCGGGGUAGGGGUGAAAUCCUAUAAUCCCGGGAGGACCACCAGUGGCGAAGGCGGAGCGCCAGAGCACGCCCGACGGUGAGGGACGAAAGCUAGGGGAGCAAACGGGAUUAGAUACCCCGGUAGUCC
rnacentral:rRNA from 1 species